rnacentral:lncRNA from 1 species
UCAAUUCUGUCAUUAUUGAUCAUGUUGGAUCUAAGCAGGUAAGUAACCAUAACCCUGAGAGUAAGGAAUCCAAUGACUGGCUUGAUGUUGAUGACAUUGAUGUGGCAUGAUUUCAAUGCAAAAGCAGUUGACUAAAUGUAUCUUUGGGACCGAUUGUUUGAGAAUAUAUGAUCUUCUUGAGACUGGUUUUAUGAUUUGUAUACUUUUUCUAACGUCUAAACAAGUGGAUUUCUAACACUAUUUUGUUUGUGUAACAGAAGAUAAACCGUAGUUACCAUGACGGCCGAUCCUCAGCAAAUCAUAGGCUGUUCUUUUUGGGAGAUUAUACAUAGACUUCAGUUUAGCUCUGCACACUCACAUAUAGGUAUGACUAGUUUUUGAGGAAGAAAAUGUUAUAUGCUAUAGGCACCGGCUUCAGGUUUGAGUGGAACAUUAAUGGAUGAGCAUCCAACCUAUAUGCCUCACACUGCUAAAAGAUACCAAGCUAAGCAUUCAUGUCUGAUUUUCAAAACAUAGGUUGCUUUUCCUUACGGUUUUCAAACACAGGUCACACUGCUGGAAGAUAUCAAGCUAAGCAUUCAUGUUUGCUUUUCCUUACAGUUUUCUGUAACAAUAUGUGCAGCUUGAUUUGAUGGAUAAAGGAACUAACGUAUUAGAUGUACUCUCACCACUCUAACCGGGGAAAUGUGCACUUUAAUUAGUUUAUUGUACCUUUUAUUGUAACAAUUUUGUGAAUAGUUCAUAGUUGAUUGUUAGAUUUUAUUUGAUUCGACUUAGUAACCUGUACAGCAAUACAUUGAAUAUUUGUGCUUUGGUUUCUAGCGUAUGCACUACUUUUACUGGUUUAGAUUUCAAUUGCAGGAACUGGUGUAUGAUAAAAUUGUGGAGCUGGAGGAUGGGAUUUGUCAGCGCUUAGUCAUGAUUCAAACAGUAACGCUUAUAGUUUGUGUAGUUUCAUGAUGUUAAAUAUCCAGCUAUCUAGUAAGAAGUUUUAGUAAGCUUGUCUGGUAAGAAGUUUCAGUUUGGCUAGUAAUAUCUGGGGGGGUUUCCCCCAUUCGUUUCACCUUUUGUAUUGGAAUUUAAUUGCUUCUCUGUUAUGAUUUCAAGGUUUUGUUGAGUUAAAAUCUGAUGUCGAGGAACUUAAUUUUGUUUCUUUUCUGUUGUGAUGUCAGCUUUAGCAGGUGCCGCAAUAGUGCAGGUACUUAUUAUCCCCUCUUUGUUUUUGUCUUCUAGUUUUGUGGGUGAAUGCUUAGAGUCUAUAUAUGUUAACAUCAGAUUUUACAUGUGAAGUGGUGGUACCUAGUGUAACCAGCAAAAUUUAUUUCUUUUGAUUUGUUACGUAUCUCUCUCUUGUGAUGAAGAUUAACUUAUAUUUCCUCUACCCAACAAAAUUAGGUGAUUUGGAUCACAACUGCAAUAGAUAUUCAAUGGAGGAUGUUGACUGAUUGAAAUGGUCAUCUAUUUCGAUUAAAUUUUGCUGAAUGGUUCUGUAGAUUCUGUUAGGGCUGCCUUUUAUCAUUUCUCAUCCAAUUUCAUAUAUAUCAAGAGCCUUCAAUCUUGGACGCAUCUUCAUCCACUUUGGUACUCCCUUAAACCAAAUACUGUUGAAAACUUUGCCAUCUGAAUUCUUGAGGUUCAGAUCAAGGUUGUUUACCAGUAAAGUUUUAAUUUGUUACUGUUUCUAUAUUGCUAAUAGUAACUUAAGGCUUCUAUUACCUUCUAAUUCAAAAGAUUCCAGCUUUAUUUGUUCUAAUUGUGUGAAUGCGCAGAUCUGCCUUUGCAUACAACAUAUUGUUGUGUUCGACUUUUUUUAAAUGUAGAUCCUUGUCUGGGACAAUUAGAAACUAACUUCAACUUUAAAAUUUUAGCAAGCUCUUAUUUUUAAAAAGCUUAUUGGACAUGUUCUACAGUCUAUUUAUGCUUCUGGAUGAGACUGAGAUUUCUUGGAACAGAUGGAUUUUAGGCCCGUGAGGAUAUAUAGGCUUUUCAAUAAGGAGUUGGGUGUAUUAAAUGACCAUGUACUACUACCCACAAGACUUCUCUGCUAUUUUAAGUAAUAUGUGGAGACAUUGUGUGUGCAAUUAAGGGAAGUUAAAUAUUUAAGUUAAAUUGAUACAGGUUCAAGAAAGCAGCUAAUUUUUUGUUCUCCUUUGAUAACAUAGAUUAAGUACUGUAUUAUUAGAAUGCUUCUGGAUUUGCUUGAAUUUUAAACUGAUUAUGUUUAUUUCCUGUAGGCAUGAAGGAGGGAUACUUUCUUUCUUUCAUUCUCGAAUGGUUCAAAUGAAGCUCAAAGGUUCUGUUUCAGCAAUUUUAUUCCAACAACCCGCCUAUGCACACAAUAUUAACUACACAGCAGUUUCAACAGCUCCAAAUCCAUAAUCAGAAGCAACAUCAUCAAUUCCAGCAGCAUCAACUGCAUCAGUUCCAGCAGCAACCACUUAAGCAGCAGCAGCAGCAGGAACAACAUCUAUCUCAUAGUGGUGACUUGAAAAUGAAAGGUUCCAUGUCAUCUACCAGCCUGAGGGAAAGUUCUCCCGAAAUCAACCUGCAUCAGUCGAAGGAUUAAAUAGAGACAUUUAAGGCUUAGUAGUCCAAUUAAUAUUGGUUACACUCUGCUUUUGGAUAGAUCAGCUUUAUGUGAUUUAGUUUAGAUACAUCCCAUGUUACAUCGUUUCCUAGGCAGUCAAAAUUCAAAGUAAUGAUCUGUUUGUUCGCGGGUAUAUACAUCCCAUGUUACUCUGCUUUGAUAAAUUAUUGAAGUUACAAUUCUUUUAA